rnacentral:rRNA from 1 species
GAUGAACGCUGGCGGCGUGCCUAAUACAUGCAAGUCGAGCGAACAGACGAGGAGCUUGCUCCUCUGACGUUAGCGGCGGACGGGUGAGUAACACGUGGAUAACCUACCUAUAAGACUGGGAUAACUUCGGGAAACCGGAGCUAAUACCGGAUAAUAUAUUGAACCGCAUGGUUCAAUAGUGAAAGACGGUUUUGCUGUCACUUAUAGAUGGAUCCGCGCCGCAUUAGCUAGUUGGUAAGGUAACGGCUUACCAAGGCAACGAUGCGUAGCCGACCUGAGAGGGUGGUCGGCCACACUGGAACUGAGACACGGUCCAGACUCCUACGGGAGGCAGCAGUAGGGAAUCUUCCGCAAUGGGCGAAAGCCUGACGGAGCAACGCCGCGUGAGGGAUGAAGGUCUUCGGAUCGUAAAACUCUUUUAUUAGGGAAGAAAAAAUGUGUAAGUAACUAUGCACGUCUUGACGGGACCUAAUCAGAAAGCCCCGGCUAAAUACGUG